UUUGAUGGAGAGUUUGAUCCUGGCUCAGGACGAACGCUUGCGACGUGCCUAAGAAAUGCAAGUCGAGCGGAAGC
rnacentral:rRNA from 1 species